UACAGAGGGUGCUAGCGUUGUUCGGAAUCAUUGGGCGUAAAGGGCGUGUAGGCGGUUUGUUAAGUCAUGUGUGAAAUCCCUCGGCUCAACCGGGGAACGACGCAUGAAACUGGCAAGCUAGAGUACCAAAGAGGGGGGUGGAAUUCCCGGUGUAGCGGUGAAAUGCGCAGAUAUCGGGAGGAACACCAGUGGCGAAGGCGGCACUCUGGGCCGGAACUGACGCUGAGGAGCGAAAGCGUGGGUAGCAAACAGG
rnacentral:rRNA from 1 species